GAUGAACGCUGGCGGCGUGCCUAAUACAUGCAAGUCGAGCGAACAGAUGAGGAGCUUGCUCCUCUGACGUUAGCGGCGGACGGGUGAGUAACACGUGGAUAACCUACCUAUCAGACUGGGAUAACUUCGGGAAACCGGAUCUAAUACCGGAUAAUAUAUUGAACCGCAUUGUUCAAUAGUGAAAGACGGUUUUGCGGUCACUAAUAGAUGAAUCCGCGCCGCAUGAGUUGGUUGGUAAGGUAACGGCUUACCAAGGCAAGGAUGCUUAGCCGACCUGAGAGGGUGAUCGGCCACACGGGAACUGAGACACGGUCCAGACUCCUACGGGAGGCAGCAGUAGGGAAUCUUCCGCAAUGGGCGAAAGCCUGACGGAGCAACGCCGCGUGAGUGAUGAAGGUCUUCGGAUCGUAAAACUCUGUUAUUAGGGAAGAACAAAUGUGUAAGUAACUAUGCACGUCUUGACGGUACCUAAUCAAAAAGCCACGGCUAACUACGUG
rnacentral:rRNA from 1 species